rnacentral:rRNA from 1 species
UUUGCAUAUUCAAUAAGCGGAGGAAAAGAAACUAACAAGGAUUCCCCCUAGUAGCGGCGAGCGAAGCGGGAAAAGCUCAAAUUUGUAAUCUGGCGCUUUCGGCGUCCGAGUUGUAAUCUCGAGAAGUGUUUUCCGCGUCAGACCGCACACAAGUCUCCUGGAACGGAGCGUCACAGUGGUGAGAACCCAGUACACGGUGCGGAUGCCUGAUGCUUUGUGAUACACUUUCGAAGAGUCGAGUUGUUUGGGAAUGCAGCUCAAAUUGGGUGGUAAAUUCCAUCUAAAGCUAAAUAUUGGCGAGAGACCGAUAGCGAACAAGUACCGUGAGGGAAAGAUGAAAAGCACUUUGGAAAGAGAGUUAACAGUACGUGAAAUUGUUGGAAGGGAAACGCUUGAAGUCAGACUUGCUAUUCGGAGCUUGCUUCGAUUCGCAGGCCCGCAUCAGUUUUCCGGGGCGGAAAAUCGUAAGGAGAAGGUAGCAGUUUCGGCUGUGUUAUAGCUCUUUACUGGAUUCGUCCUGGGGGACUGAGGAACGCAGCGUGCUUUUUGCAUGGGCUUCGGCCCAUCCACG